AAGGCCCUUCGGGGUACACGAGCGGCGGACGGCUGAGUAACACGUAGGAACGUACCCCAAAGUGAGGGAUAAGCACCAGAAAUGGUGUCUAAUACCGCAUGUGCUCUAAGGAGUAAAGCUCCGGCGCUUUGGGAACGGCCUGCGCAUGAUUAGCUAGAUGGUGAGGUAAUGGCUCACCAUGGCGACGAUCAUUAGCUGGUCUGAGAGGAUGAUCAGCCAGACUGGGACUGAGACACGGCCCAGACUCCUACGGGAGGCAGCAGUAGGGAAUUUUCCACAAUGGGCGAAAGCCUGAUGGAGCAACGCCGCGUGCAGGAUGAAUGCCUUCGGGUUGUAAACUGCUUUUAUAUGUGACGAAUAUGACGGUAGCAUAUGAAUAAGGAUCGGCUAACUCCGUGCCAGCAGCCGCGGUCAUACGGAGGAUCCAAGCGUUAUCCGGAAUUACUGGGCGUAAAGAGUUGCGUAGGCGGCAUAGUAAGCAGAUAGUGAAAGCGUGUGGCUCAACCAUACUCACAUUAUCUGAACUGCUAAGCUAGAGGACGAGAGAGGUCACUGGAAUUCCUAGUGUAGGAGUGAAAUCCGUAGAUAUUAGGAGGAACACCAAUGGCGUAGGCAGGUGACUGGCUCGUUCCUGACGCUCAGGCACGAAAGCGUGGGGAGCAAACGGGAUUAGAUACCCCGGUAGUCCACGCCGUAAACGAUGGAUGCUAGCUGUUAGAGGUAUCGACCCCUCUAGUAGCGAAGCUAACGCGUUAAGCAUCCCGCCUUUUGGAGUACGGUCGCAAGACUAAAACAU
rnacentral:rRNA from 1 species